GUGCGGUGGAGAAAGAAAGCUGAAUGAUACAAGUUAUAAUUCCACCAAGAUGUCAGAAGACACUUAGUGUUCACGAAGAUCCAGAUUUUCAGCAUCUGCAAUUUUUUUCUUGAUUUUCAUAUAUACAAUUCCCAUUGAGACAGAAAAUUUUUGGAGAACAGAGAACAGGAGAGUGAAGGCUUAUGAGAAACAGACAACCUGUGGCCAAUGAAGCAACAAUUACUGUCAUUCCCAAUUCAUUAAAAUCUGAAAAUGUAUUGAAUUACAGUACAAUAUCAAAAACACAUGAGAUUCUGCAGAUACUGGGUAUCUAGAACAAUACACACAAAACUCUAAAGGAACUCAGCAUCCAUGGAGAAGAAUAAACAAUUGAUGUUUACAGUGAAAACCCUGCCUCAGGACUGGAAGGGAAGGAGGAAGAAGCCCAAAUAAAAAUGUGGAUGAUGAAGCCGUGUUUGGAUAACAGGUACUUUGGAAUGUGAGCCGUCCAGUGAGGGGAGCGUAUUUGUGUUGUAUGCCUUACACCGGUGUGAGCUGGGUCUUUUGUUUGAAGAGAGAGGAUGCUGAAGAGAACCUGUCGUAGGAUUCAUGGGAGACUGUGAUUCGAUGGAGCAAGGUGCGGGGUCUACUGAGGAUCGGUGAAUGUGUUUGACUUUUGGAAGAGUUGAGCUCCAACUUGUGCACAUUUGACUGUUUAGUUAUAAUGGGCCUUUUUUUAAAAUCUUUUUCUUUUCUUUACCAACUCUUAAGUUAAGAUUCAUAAAUAUAAUUCCAUUCAUCAUAUGCAGUGUAUUGUCUGUUAUUUCUUGGCACUGGGUUGUAACAGGGUAGCAGAUUAUAGGCAACCACACAAACCGGGGUUUGAGGUGGGAGAACCAUUUCAUUCUCACAGGCAUUGCGGAACCGCAGAGUGUUUUCCUUAAAUUUAUGCAGCCAAGGAAACCAGGUGGUUUUAUAUAUAGUUUUUUUUUUGAGAGACCUUGACAAGGAUGGUUAGGACCCAAAUGCUAGAGUAUCCAAAGGGAAGCAUCAUAACAUGAUGUAAAGCUGGAACGAGAACUGAGCGAAAACGAAUUGUCAGAUGAUAUCUCCAGUUAGAUUUACAGUUGAGCACCUAGGCCCUGUUUAGGUGCUCUUUAAAUACUCAAUUCUUGAUGACCAAAACAUGAUUACCAAUUAGCGUGAUGGUCCUGAACCCUUACCAGUUAACUAUACUCCGUAGAGUCGGAGCGUUUAAACCCCAGAAGCUGACAUGAUUGGGUGUGUCCAGUAAUACACAUAAAUGCAUACAUACAUAUAUAGUACACAAUAUAUAAGCUUAUUUAACGCACUUUGAUCAUUAAACAUUUUCCUAUGUAGAAUCAUAGCAACGUAAUGAACAGGUUUAUCCUCAGUUUGACUUUGGGUCCUCCUUGACUCAAUGCGACUCCACAGUGAAAUCUCUGAGAGCUCAAAAAUGAAACUAAAUCUAUAAAUUGGGAAAUAUCAUUUUCCACCCCUUAUUCCACACAGCCACUAUUUAACAAGUUGUGAUAAGGUCUCAGCAAAGUUGAUGCAAUCUAGGAGUCAAUAUUACUUUGUUAUAUAACACAGAAAUGAGUCUUUGGUCUGCUGAGUCCGUGCUGUCCGUGAAGCACCUACUUAUUCCGAUCUUACUUCAAUCCCAUUUUAUUCUCUCCAUGUUCCCAUCUACUUCCUUAAGAUUCCAUCACUCAGCUAAAUACUGAGUAUACUAAAUAUGUGGCAAUCCACAUACUUUUGGGGUGUGGAUGGAAAUCACCAAACCCAGAAUUAACCCAUCUGCUGAAAGUCAGCAUACAUAAACUCCACACAGACAGCACCAGAGAUCAGGUUGCUGGCUUUAUACAAAAGGAAUCUAAUAUCUUUGGUAUUGUGUCAAGUUCUCAUGGUUUGAAUUGUAUCAACAGUAUUAAAAUACAUUUUCCCACGUUUUCUCCCAUAAACUUUAAAAGCUAAACAGUUAUGAUUUAUUUGCUUUGGUAACAUAUCAAUUAAUUUUAAAAUUACAUGUUAACAUGCUUAAGCUGAUUAAUUUUCAGUGAAAAGUAAUUCCCCAGACUCAGUGUGCAAAUGUAUUCCAAAAUAAGAGAAUUCAGAAGGGAACCAUUUCUACAGGGGGUAGCAUAACAGCAAAAGACCAUCUGCUGAGACAGGAAACAAGUAAACCUGAACAGCUGAAAGGAGCUGCAGGAGAUAUGAGGAAAACAGUGACUACAUCCCUUAUCAUUUCAUUCAACUGACAGGUUAUUUGUUAUUAAACUUUGUGUGUUUUGAGGAGAGAAUGUGCGGCAGGUUUACAGUAAUUGUGAAUGAGCACUUACCAUUAAUAGCCUUAAAGUGCCACUAAAUCAAUAUGUAGUAUUCCCUUUAGAACUGAUCUUAGAUCAACCAACCUGCUUUAUUUCCAUAAAAGAUGUUGUAAAGUUAUGGGUUUAUAUUAUUGUUCACUGUCUUGCUGAUUCUAGCAAUAUACAGUGUUUGAGUAAAGAGAUACCAUUGAUGGGUAACUAUGUUAGGUAUGUAGGUUUUAGAGGUUGGAGAAGGGGAGUGCUGAGGUUGGGGUGGUGAAUAAUAUGCUAGAGACAUAAUCAUUGAUCAAAAGCUAUCAUAGAUUCUGUUUGUCUUUUUUUAAUCCACAAAAUCCAGUGCCAAAUUUUCACAUGUCAAAUGUGAAAAUAUGAAAUUAAAAAUCAGACAGGGUGGUAAGUAAAAGAUGUGUGACAUAGAAUGAUUAUAAAGUUCCUGAAAAUUAAUGUUGUUCCAAUUUCUGAGUGCAUAGAAAUUUCCAAAUAGCCACCUUUGAAUCAAAACCUUGCAUCUUAUUGUUUAUAAGAAUAUAUAUCACCAGUGAUUUGCUUUCUCACAUUUUUCACAUUUCUAGCGAAACUAUCCUGGAAAUUUGUGGUUGCUAAUUUUGUUUUGUAAAUAGAGCUAUAUUACCUGUGACUUCCCUGUUGAAAACUUAGAUAAAAUAAUUGUUCAGAAUACCAGCUGUCUUGUGCUAAUUUCAUCCCUGAUGGAUCCCAUAAGCACGUGUUAAACAAAUGCCCAUUCUGAACCCCAGACAGAUCUGCACAUAAGAUGAAUAGACUCCAUCUGAAUUUAAUUAUUUUAUGCCAGGCCACUAGAGCACAGAGC